UUACUGCCUACCAGAAAUGAUAGAAGCCAGACUUGUUUAAUCCAAAAAGAAAGAUGUUUCAGGGAGGCAGAGAAAGGCUCUCCUAAUGCACGACAGACCUGCCCAGAAUGGCCUCUCUGUUCCUAGGAGGGCGACAGUU
ensembl:snoRNA